rnacentral:rRNA from 1 species
CGGAGGGUGCGAGCGUUGUCCGGAAUCACUGGGCGUAAAGGGCGCGUAGGCGGCCUGAUAAGUAGGGGGUGAAAUCCUGCGGCUUAACCGCAGGGCUGCCUUCUAAACUGUCAGGCUAGAGCACGGUAGAGGCAGAUGGAAUUCCCGGUGUAGCGGUGGAAUGCGUAGAGAUCGGGAAGAACAUCAGUGGCGAAGGCGGUCUGCUGGGCCGUUGCUGACGCUGAGGCGCGACAGCGUGGGGAGCAAACAGGAUUAGAUACCCUGGUAGUCCACGCCGUAAACGAUGGACACUAGGCGUCGGGGGGAGCGACCCUCCCGGUGCCGUCGCUAACGCAGUAAGUGUCCCGCCUGGGGAGUACGGCCGCAAGGCUG